rnacentral:rRNA from 1 species
GUGCCAGCCGCCGCGGUAAGACAGAGGGUGCAAACGUUGCUCGGAAUCACUGGGCGUAAAGGGCGUGUAGGCGGGCGUGCAAGUCAGGCGUGAAAUCCCUGGGCUCAACCCAGGAAUUGCACUUGAAACUGCACGUCUUGAGUAUCGGAGAGGAAAGUGGAAUUCCUGGUGUAGAGGUGAAAUUCGUAGAUAUCAGGAGGAACACCGGUGGCGAAGGCGGCUUUCUGGACGAUAACUGACGCUGAGACGCGAAAGCGUGGGGAGCAAACAGGAUUAGAAACCCGUGUAGUCC